AUAAUAUAAAAUAAUGAAUAUAAAUUCAUAAGAGUGUCUUGAAAUAAACAAGUGAGUUUCUCUGUGAAUCCACUUUACCGUUAGUUUGAGUUUCCACUUCAUUGGUUUGGUUCAGUGCUGAGAAGGAAGUGAAACAGACAGAUGACAGUCCUCUAACUGAGUCCACACAUUUUAGUUUCAGCAUAGAGUUUAUUUACCGUCUACUGUCUUCACAUUUACACCUUAGAUAUAGUGAAUAUUUUCAUGUCGGACUAAUUGAAGAUGUGAGAAACUGUGGAAGAUUCAGACUUUAAACCAUCAAAGUGGAUAAAGUUAUUUUCUAUGACUGAAAUCCUUUCUCUUGCUCCCAUUUCUCCUCUGUGUGAUCACGGUCUCAUUGACACAGCUGAUCCACAGAGCUGUUAACCUCUGUCAUGGAUCAUAAGUGUCUCGUGUCCAGCUGUCUGUCCUGCAGUGGAAGUUAAUCUGCUCCUUGUGUGUCUCUGCUCUCCUCCAGCUGGCUCCAUGGUCAGGCCCUCAGUGUCUCUGCUCUCCCCCACCUCUGAGCAGCUCUCUGGGGGCUCGGCCACGCUGGCCUGCCUGCUGAGCGGCUACUCUCCCCAGGGAGCCGUGGUGAGCUGGGAGGUGGACGGUAGGGAGGUGACAGAGGGGGUCCUGACCAGCUCAGAGGAGGAGAAGAGCGGACGCUACAGCAGCAGCAGCACCCUGAGACUGAGCCGGGAGCGCUGGAUGGAAGGAGAGCUGUACUCCUGCAAGGUCUCCCAUCAUGACCACCAACAGACCCAGUCCCUCCACAGGAGCCAGUGUAAGGGCUAGAGGUGCUGGAUGGAGCCCAGGACAGGAGCUCUGUGUGGGGGGGCAGCAGGAACACACCUGUUGUUCUCAUCCAAUAUGAGUUUUAAUGUUUGUAGAGGGAAAUAAAGCUUCGUGUGACAGACGACAACACUGCUGUAAAGUGUUGGAGGACGACAACAGCUUAGAGAGUCGUGUGUGUAGCUCAGCAGCUGGAUGAGAGUGUGAUUAAUAACUGUCAUGUUGAUGCUAAUAAAGCUUGCUCUGAGAAAUAA